AUUGAACGCUGGCGGCAUGCUUUACACAUGCAAGUCGAACGGUAACAGGUUAAGCUGACGAGUGGCGAACGGGUGAGUAAUGCAUCGGAACGUGCCCGGUCGUGGGGGAUAACACUUCGAAAGAAGUGCUAAUACCGCAUACGAUCUGAGGAUGAAAGCGGGGGACCGUAAGGCCUCGCGCGAUCGGAGCGGCCGAUGUCAGAUUAGGUAGUUGGUGGGGUAAAGGCCUACCAAGCCGACGAUCUGUAGCUGGUCUGAGAGGACGACCAGCCACACUGGGACUGAGAGACGGCCCAGACUCCUACGGGAGGCAGCAGAGGGGAAUUUUGGACAAUGGGCGCAAGCCUGAUCCAGCAAUGCCGCGUGCAGGAAGAAGGCCUUCGGGUUGUAAACUGCUUUUGUACGGAGCGAAAAGGCUCUCUCUAAUACAGGGGGCUGAUGACGGUACCGUAAGAAUAAGCACCGGCUAACUACGUGCCAGCCGCCGCAGUAA
rnacentral:rRNA from 1 species